rnacentral:rRNA from 1 species
CCCGCCUGGGGACUACGAGCAUAAGCUUAAAACCCAAAGGACUUGGCGGUGCUUUAGACCCACCUAGAGGAGCCUGUUCUACAACCGAUAACCCCCGUUAAACCUCACCUUCUUUUGUUAUUUCCGCCUAUAUACCGCCGUCGUCAGCUUACCCUGUGAAGGCCCUUCAGUAAGCAAAAUUGAAUUUUUCCAAAACGUCAGGUCGAGGUGUAGCAGAUGAGAAGGAAAGAAAUGGGCUACAUUUUCUAAAACAGAAAACACGGAUAUUACUAUGAAACAGUAUAUAGAAGGAGGAUUUAGCAGUAAGCAGAGAAUAGAGAGCUCU